UUCAGGAUGAACGCUGGCGGCGUGCCUAACACAUGCAAGUCGAACGGAGAUUAACGCUGAUGAAGCUUCGGCAGAAUCUUGUUAAAUCUUAGUGGCGGACGGGUGAGUAACGCGUGGGCAACCUGCCUCGUACUGGGGGAUAACAGUUGGAAACGACUGUUAAUACCGCAUAAGCGCACGGUAUCGCAUGAUACAGUGUGAAAAACUCCGGUGGUACGAGAUGGGCCCGCGUCAGAUUAGCCAGUUGGCGGGUAACGGCCCACCAAAGCGACGAUCUGUAGCCGGACUGAGAGGUCGGACGGCCACAUUGGGACUGAGACACGGCCCAAACUCCUACGGGAGGCAGCAGUGGGGGAUAUUGCACAAUGGGCGAAAGCCUGAUGCAGCGACGCCGCGUGAGUGAAGAAGUAUUUCGGUAUGUAAAGCUCUAUCAGCAGGGAAGAAAGACUCGUAAGAGAGAUGACGGUACCUGACUAAGAAGCCCCGGCUAACUACGUGCCAGCCGCGGC
rnacentral:rRNA from 1 species